CUUUCUCAAAGCGCGUUUAUUUGCCAAUUUUGAUCGGCUCGCUCGCCUGAAUUGCGCGGGACGAGUCGAUAAAAGUCGUUGAAUGGCCAGAUAAAUUUGCUGAUCGCACGGUCUUAGUACUGGCGACGAAUCUUUGAAACGACUUGCCUAUCAACUGUCGAUGGCAGGCUACGUGCCUACCAUGGUGACAACGGUUAACGGGGAAUCAGGGUUCGAUUCCGGAGAGAGAGCCUGAGAGACGGCUACCACAUCCAAGGAAGGCAGCAGGCACGCAAAUUACCCACUCCCAGAAUGGGGAGGUAGUGACGAUAAAUAACGGAACGUAUCUCGACGAGACGCGUUACCGGAACGACUGAGCCGUAUACAAGCUCGGCGAAAGCUAUUGGAGGGCAAGUCUGGUGCCAGCAGCCGCGGUAAUUCCAGCUCCAAUAGCGUAUAUUAAACUUGCUGCGGUUGAACCGCUCGUAGUUGGAUUGUGAACCGUGACCACGGUCCUCUAAGUGAAGAGGAAUGGCUUUGCCGCCGUUGGUCGUGAUCAAUGAUGUCAUAGUUGUCCGGAUGCUCUUCAUCGGGUGUCUUGGACGGCAUGAAUGUUUACUUUGAGAAAAUAAGAGCGCCCAAAGCAGGCUGCUAUAUGCUUGAACGGAAUUUCAUGGGAUAGUGAAU
rnacentral:rRNA from 1 species